rnacentral:lncRNA from 1 species
CUUAAAUGAAAUAUUAAAUAAAACUGGUGAUUUUUUUAAAAAUAUAUAUAAAAAUAAAAAAAAGAAAAAGAAAAUUCGGAGGUUUAAUAGGCUGAGGAUCAAGUUGCAAUAUGGCUAAAAUUUCAGGGUCAAAAUCACAAAAUAAAAAAAUAGGGUUGCAAAGGACUGAAUUGAAACGCGCUCAAAACGUGAGGGACUUCCAGAUAAAU